CCUACGGGUGGCAGCAGUGGGGAAUAUUGCACAAUGGGGGGAACCCUGAUGCAGCGACGCCGCGUGAGUGAAGAAGUAUUUCGGUAUGUAAAGCUCUAUCAGCAGGGAAGAAAAUGACGGUACCUGACUAAGAAGCCCCGGCUAACUACGUGCCAGCAGCCGCGGUAAUACGUAGGGGGCAAGCGUUAUCCGGAUUUACUGGGUGUAAAGGGAGCGUAGACGGCGACGCAAGUCUGAAGUGAAAUGCCAGGGCUCAACACUGGAACUGCUUUGGAAACUGUGUAGCUAGAGUGCAGGAGAGGUAAGUGGAAUUCCUAGUGUAGCGGUGAAAUGCGUAGAUAUUAGGAGGAACACCAGUGGCGAAGGCGGCUUACUGGACUGUAACUGACGUUGAGGCUCGAAGGCGUGGGGAGCAAACAGGAUUAGAUACCCGUGUAGUC
rnacentral:rRNA from 1 species